rnacentral:rRNA from 1 species
GACGAACGCUGGCGGUGUGCUUAACACAUGCAAGUCGAACGGAAAGGCCCUGCUUUUGUGGGGUGCUCGAGUGGCGAACGGGUGAGUAACACGUGAGUAACCUGCCCUUGACUUUGGGAUAACUUCAGGAAACUGGGGCUAAUACCGGAUAGGAGCUCCUGCUGCAUGGUGGGGGUUGGAAAGUUUCGGCGGUUGGGGAUGGACUCGCGGCUUAUCAGCUUGUUGGUGGGGUAGUGGCUUACCAAGGCUUUGACGGGUAGCCGGCCUGAGAGGGUGACCGGCCACAUUGGGACUGAGAUACGGCCCAGACUCCUACGGGAGGCAGCAGUGGGGAAUAUUGCACAAUGGGCGGAAGCCUGAUGCAGCAACGCCGCGUGCGGGAUGACGGCCUUCGGGUUAUAAACCGCUUUCGCCUGUGACGAAGCGUGAGUGACGGUAAUGGGUAAAGAAGCACCGGCUAACUACGUG